GAAGGAAGAGCACCCAAGGACAUGACCCCAGGGACCUCCUCCCAGCUAGGCCUUGCCUCUCCAAGUCUACAUACAUCCAUCAAAUUACGUCUCACUCAGCGGACACAACCACUGUAAGGCAGAGCCCUCGUAAUCGCCUCUUGGUAACUGGAUACACCAAUCAGGGAUCAGAACGAGGCUUUUGGGAAGACUUUAUGUCUAAAUGGUAAAGAUGUUCUGUGAUCACAGGUUUCAUUUUAACACUGCCAAGAUUGUGGUCCCAUGACUGGGUGGUAGCUGACUUCACAGUUGCCCAGGCCUGGAGAUAUAACUCUAAUAACAUCUCACAGCCAAGAUAAUGAACUCCUCACUUGUACAGGAAGGAUCCGUCUAUAAUCUCAAGCUACAUAGACAAACACCCACGAGGCAAUAUGGACAAACAACUCAAAAGUCACUUGAGGCUACAGAAACUGCUUCGGGUUUCAAGCCCAAGGAUCCAUUGUUAGUAAAACAAAUGAGGUGAGCACAUUUCCCUCCUGUACAGCCUAAAUCCUGGCUCUCGGGGCAUAAAGGGCGGUUUCACAAUUCCCCUGAAGAGCCCCUUCAAUCUGUUGUUACUACGCGUUUAUGUGAAUGUGUGGGCCUGUCUCGUUCACACGCACACGUGCACACGCAUGCACACGUGCCUGUCACUGCUCCCGUAGUGAAGCGAGCGUACAAUUUAUGAGAACAGGCUCUCUGAACAAAGGUCAUCAGGGUUGGUGACAAGCACCCUGGCGUACCUGCCUAGUCAUUUCAUUUUGAAUUUGAAUGACAGCACACUAGGAAGAGCUACAAUGUAUACACUGUAUUCAGCGCUAGGAAGACCUACAAUGUAUACACUGACUCCAAUUCAGGGGGUCAAAGGUCAGAGGGCAAGUAUCCACUGCUCGGGAUCCCCACAACUGAGUUCUCAGGAAGAAGGAGAUUUACUUGCCCCAGAGAGACAGAGGACAGGAGAUGGAGGAAGAGGGAGAAGGGGAAGGGAAUAGGAGGGAAGGAAAGGGGUAUUUGUCCCUCAGGACAACUGUCUCUGAAGAGAGGACAUGAUAUGUGAUCAUGACAUUGGCAAGGAAAUGGGUAGAAAAAAAAACCCCGGGAAAGGUGACCCCAGAAGGACAGAUGUGGUGUGCACACACUGGCUCACUUACAUGUAGGUAUGGACUGUGAAGUCGAUGAUAACCAAGCUACCAUCUGCAGAGCCAC
ensembl:lncRNA